GACGAACGCUGGCGGCGUGCUUAACACAUGCCAGUCGAACGGAAAGGCCCUGCUUUUGUGGGGUGCUCGAGUGGCGAACGGGUGAGUAACACGUGAGUAACCUGCCCUUGACUUUGGGAUAACUUCAGGAAACUGGGGCUAAUACCGGAUAGGAGCUCCUGCUGCAUGGUGGGGGUUGGAAAGUUUCGGCGGUUGGGGUUGGACUCGCGGCUUAUCAGCUUGUUGGUGGGGUAGUGGCUUACCAAGGCUUUGACGGGUAGCCGGCCUGAGAGGGUGACCGGCCACAUUGGGACUGAGAUACGGCCCAGACUCCUACGGGAGGCAGCAGUGGGGAAUAUUGCACAAUGGGCGGAAGCCUGAUGCAGCAACGCCGCGUGCGGGAUGACGGCCUUCGGGUUGUAAACCGCUUUCGCCUGUGACGAAGCGUGAGUGACGGUAAUGGGUAAAGAAGCACCGGCUAACUACGUG
rnacentral:rRNA from 1 species